rnacentral:lncRNA from 1 species
GCACAUUUAGUUCAGAUGAGAGUAUGUUUUAAGAAGCACCUCAUGAGUGAGUGCAUCCUUAAAGUUGUCUGUAGUGGUUUGGUUUGAGAUAUCGGGUGGUAAUUUGUUCCAAUCUUUGAUUGUUUGGCUGAAAAAAGAAAAUUUAAAGGUGUCUUUAUUACACUGAAGUUGUCUGUAUGUCUGUUGAUGGGUAGUUCUUGUUUUAGACUGGCUUUUUAUGAGUAUAUCUUGCGAUGGUAUUGCAAUUUCAUUGUUGAUGACUUUGUGCAACAUUUGGAGUCUGGUUUUUAGUCUGCGUUCUUGUAAGGAUUGCCAUUUUAGAUGUUCUAUCAUUUCAGAUACACUGCUGGUAUUGUGAUAUCUGUUGCAAGUAUAUCUUGCAGCUCUUCUUUGUACUUGUUCCAAUUUAUAUAUAUUUUCUGAGGUGUAUGGAUCCCAAACUGUACAGCAGUAUUCU